GGCAGCCGGUGCGCGCGUGCGCUACCCCGCGCCGCGCGUCCCCGCGAGCGCCGCAGCACGCGCCCGCCCUGCCCGUGUGCGGAGCGCAGAGAACCGAGCCUCGUUGUGUCCGCCUGAUUGGCGAUUCCCUUCAGGUCCGCCGCAUGAGAUCGCGCCCUCCGUGGAGGACCGCAAUGAAUAUUCAUUACUGUCUUUUCAGCCCCUUCACAAUUUGCUACCUCUGUUCAAGUAUAAGGCGGGCAGUGAGCUGCCGAGGGGCGCCCUGCGCGGCCGGCCCGGCACAGACGCGCUCUUGUUGGUGCAGCUGCGGGGCCUCAGCUGGUGGGAAGCGGGAGGGGGAGAGCUGGGAAGCGAGAGACAGCCCCGGGUCUGUUCGGGUGCGCUCGGUUACCUCCUGCCACAGAGGAACGUGGGGGGAACUCUUCAUUUCUUCUUUUCGUUCUGAAAUGCAAUCUGUGUGAACCUCCAGUUGAACCAGUUCUCUGCUAACGCUUCUAACAGGAGCGUGGUCUGGAUUUCUCCUCCACCCUGUUAGCUGGGAUUUUCCUAACUCAAGAAGUAGUGUGGCACAGGCAGCCCAGAGAGGUGGUGGAGUCACCAUCCCUGGAGGUGUUCAGGAAACGUGUGGAUGUGACACUGAGGGAUGUGGUUAGUGGGCAUGGUGGGGGUGGGCUGAUGGUUGGACUAGGUGGUCUUAGUGGUCUUCUCCGGCUUUUACGAUUCUUUAAGGUGCCAGUGUUUCAGACUCAUGUGCUACAAACAUCUGUAGUCUUCCAGGCUUCAGUUUUGUGCAGCAAAGAGGAGUGCUGCUUCUGCCUGCAUGCACAGUGAUGCACUGCUGUAAGUAGCGUAUGCCAGGACUGUAGGAAGGGUCACUGGGAACUGCAGUGCUGAAUCUUGGGCUGCUGUAUCUGGCACCUCCAAGCAGUAAGCGACACUUUUGCUAGUUGAGAAGGAAUCUCUGGGUGGGGAAAAAUCCCUUCAUACAGCAAGCUCCACGUUUCCAUAGAGCAGCGGUACAGUUGUGGGGAUUGUUGAGCACCUCUUGGUUUUCAGUCUCUGCUGAAAUAAAUCCCUGUGUUUCCAGGGAUCAGAGCAGGUGCAGCCCUUUGCUCCUCACUGGUACAGAAUUGCAUUGCUUUUUGUCUUCUCCCAUUCCCUUGCUUAUCUCCUCCUGGAAUCAGUGCUUGUGGUGUUGCAGGAAAGCUCAGUUUCCUAAAGCUUCAGCAAGAGUGGAAGGAGAUCUGUCCAUCACUGUCUCAGAUUUACCAGUGAGCUCGCAAAUACGCAAAGAUGCAUUGGUGAGGAGGGCUGCACAGAUCAGUGGAAGAGUCAGACUUGGUGAGUUUGGCUGUGUUUGUUCACAAUGUCUGCAGAGGUAGCGGUGAUGUGGUGACUUCCACCCUCUCUUGUGCAUCUGUGGAGGCCUGCACCUUCCCUCCACUGUUCUGCCACAGUGAGUAGGUCCCAGGGGCAGGAACUUUUUUGACACCUCCUGUCAGAGCUCCUGGCCCUGGGAGGAUGGAAACGUGGAGACAGCUCUGGGUUAUUGAGAAAGUCCUAUUUUUUUCUUCGCUUCUCACCUCUGCUUUUUCUGGAUCAAGGUUGGAUCUCAUUCCUGCAGGAGUUUCAGUGUAUAUACGUUUUGUACUUAUCUGCACAGGUGAGUGUGCAGUGGAGAUGCUGGUACUACACUGGAGUUACUCCAAAGCUUUUGUGUUAGCUCACCAUGCCAAGUGCAUUUCUUAGUUCACUUAAUCAAAUACAGUCAGUUUCCAAAUCGUAAUGAGUUUGUUAGAUAUGCACUCACAGCAGCAGUUUUUAACAGAACCUGUCCCUGUGCGAUACUAAGUUUUACUGGUUUUACUUCAAGUAGUAGGACCAAAAUGGAUAAAAGCGCAACAUGCAUGGACUCUACCAAAUAAUCUUACUACUACUGUAUGCAUAUGUUGCAACACUGUGGUUUGCUCAGUAGGUGUGUGGAGAACUGGGUGUACUGUUUUACUGAGGGUGCUAAAUAAACCAGAGUGCAGUGCCACUGCUGAGACGGGUAAUUCCCAGCACCUGAAGAAUGCCAGCCCCUGGGGCCUUGCUUUCCCUGCAGCUGUGUGGGUGGGGGCUAGCAUGGCCUCAUCUGCUGGGAAAUCCAGUGUGCAGUGUUACAGCUUUGAGAAGGCAAUUUUGUAUCAACGGUUCUGAAGGGUAUUUUUUUUUAAGUCCAACUUCCUUAUUAUUAUUUUUGUUAAAUAGACUUUUAUGUAUAAAACAAGCCCAAAAGCCCCAAACCACUUGCAGCCUGUUCUUUAUGAUAUUUUUGUUGGGUUCAGUGGUGUGUCUUCUUAGAAUACCAUCUUUGUUUUUGAAUGUUGUGCAAGGGUUGGCAUCGUGUCAUAGCAGUCACAGGAGCCUUUAUUGAAUCUUUAACCUUUACCAGAUCUAGUCCAAGCUCUGUAAACAAGCAUAUCCUACUAGAGGGAAUGAAUCAUAAAUAAAUCCGCUCCAUAGCGCACUGAAAUUCUUAACCUCUUUUCUAGACUGUCUCUUCAAAAAUAUUUUGUUGGCCAGAUAUACCUGUAACAUCUUAGGGUUCUGUUCUCUGAGCUUUAACUAGCAGCUGAAUUCUUUCACAGGAAUGAAUGGAUUGUUAAUCAAAGGUUUCAAGCAAGGGUAAUUGUUUUUGAUAGUGGGAAGUAGAUCAAAUGGAAUUGAUGAUACCGAGGUUAUUGUUGGACAUGUAGUUCUGGCUAAACUUGUAUACUGGCUAGUGUUAUGCCACUGAACUUGCUAUUGCCUAUACUGAUUCUGGAUACUUUAUGAAAAAGGGAAAGGAAGUUAGUCUUGAGAUAUAGGCCAAGAGAGGGACGGUAUGUAAAUCUAUCUAUGGGGGGAAAGGGUACAUUGUUUUACUAGAGUCUAUUUUAAACCCAUACACAUUCUCUAGUUCUAGUCUGUAAGGAAAAGGACAAUAAGUAAGGUGAAGUGUGAGAAAUCUGAGGUUUUACGUUUGGAUUUUCUCUAAACUAACGGGUGUCUAAAAUUGGCCAGCUGAUGUUGUCCUACCUAGCCUGGACUGUUGGCAGAUCAUUCUGUAGCCUGAGAAGUAUCUGCAUAGUAGUAGGUAUAAACAGGCCGACUGCUUUUGGAGUGACUAUACAGUUGCAGGUAUAACACACUGGCUCACUAUUUACUCAUCUCAGAAGUCCUGACUUACUGCAUUCCUUAUUUUGUUCUGCUAUUCCCUUUCUUUCUGGAUUCUCUGAUUUUAUUUUCUUUUUUUUCCUCCCUGUGGUAGAACAUGGCUAGUCCCAGCAGAUAUGAACUCUGGUGUCUUUCUCCUGCUUCCUGUUGUUUUCCAGGUUUUUCUUCUUCCAUCUUCUCCCCAGAUGCUAAUUUUCUUUCCUUUCUCUUAUCAGCUGCUGCACUUGUACGUGCGCAUAUUUCUGUUUCCUGCCUGUCCUGUCCUAGAUAGCUGCUGAAGGUGGCUCACCAACCUGCUCACAAAAGCCAGGGGGUGAAGUACUCCUGAAUCUCACUCAAGUGAGAAGGUUUUUCUUCCUUCUCUGUACGGAGGCUGAUAAGAAGGAAGCUUUGUGAUUUUUUUUUUUUUUUUGCUAGAUGUGUCUCUCCUCUAUUGCAGGCUCUGCUGAUUAGCUAAGACUUCUGAUUUGAAGCUUUGCAUCCUUUACUGGUGUUACAGUAGUAUUGGGAGAUCGUAAUUACAGGCUGGGACCUAAUAAUCACCAUAUAAAGAAGCAUCUGAUCCAUAAACUGUUCCUAUUCGUGCUCUCCCCACACCCAACGCUACCCAUCUCCUGUCCCUACCUUGCCCCUUUUAUUGAGGGGAGAAUUCAUGGACAGUUUGGCAGUCACCAUUGUGUUCUUCUAGGCUUUGUUUUGUUCCCACUCCGUUGUGACCUGAUAGAAGAGCUACAACUCGAGCUGCUCAAUUUUAAUGCUGUCCUAUCUUUAGCAGCAUGGCAGUGCAACCACUGCUCCUCAGCCACCAGCAGCUUAAAAAUUUGCUUUAUAGGCUGCAUACUGUGCAAGCCUGCUCCCAUGGUUUUUUUUGUUGUUUUUUUUUUUAAGUUGCUGAAUUACUCCCAUUCUGAUCUCAAACAAACUGACCUGGUUGUAAAUACUUUAUCUGCGGCUUGUAAUUUCCUGGGUACUGAUCAAUUUUCAAUAUGGUGCUACAUACUAGAGCGUCCUGGAGCUUUCUGAAGACCUAGAGUGCUCUGGAUUUGACUGCUCUGACUGUGUCCUGUAACUUCCUUCAAGGUUAGUAAUGCUCCUUUAGAAAUGAAUCUUGUAACAUCGGUUUAACAUGGGUUUCUCACAUCCUGCAGUUAGCUGUUCUAGUAACUGGAAAGGAGUUUUUUUGAUUGAAACAUUUAUUUAUGUAGCAGCUUUCCUACAAAGAGGCUGGAUUAGCGUUACCAAGGACAGAGAAAUUUAGCUAAAAAGCAGUGAUGAGCUGUUGAAGCUGUCAGUAUCUGGUGUAGCACUGAACAGAGGUAGAGGGAACAAGAGAAGACACAAGUUUUGCAGAUACCAUUCAAAAUAGUGUACCAGAAAUCUGAGCAAGACUUCUGCGUGUUCUUUCCGCCAGAUCUUAUUCUGCAGGAUAUCAUAGUGAGUAUGCGUGCAGUGAGAAGAUGGCAGGUGAAAAUCAAAGGUGGGAAAUAAGAACUUGGCAGCCACACAGGCAUUGAAAAACACUGACAGGGAUGGGGCAGAGGGAAGGUGAGGUUAAGGCAGAGCAACAGCUGUGGAGGAGAAGAGCUUCCCUUCAAUCUGCCUGUGGCAUGUCCAUUUUUAGAGAUCAUUCUGCAUCACUCUUACAUUUUAUUAAUUUCUGGGUAGCAAACUUGCUGGUAUAAUUUGCUAGUAAUGGGUGCUCGCAUGGGCCAGAAUUGGCCACUGAGCUGUGGGUAAGAGUGGCUAGGUCUCUCUCAGUCUCUCAAUACUUGCUUGCAUUUCUUGAACUUGAUUGAGUGUUAUAGACACUUUUGCUUAAGCAUUUUUCUUCCUGAUGGUGUUUUUGUUGGCAGUUGCAUUUUCUUCUAGACAUGUGUGCUGUUCAGCGAAGGAUUAUGUGGUGAUUCAUGGAUACUUAGGGCAGCCCACAGACUUUACAUUCCUGCUGGGCUAAAGCUCUGAGCUAAGUACAAUUUUAUUUGUCCUUUCUUGUGUUUUGGGUCUCAAAAGGCUGUUAUUUCUAAAUGCAAACGAUCUUCUGAUUGAGAAGCAGAGUGUCCAGAAAUGACACUUGCUUAAGGCCAGUGAAAAUUAAAAGAUGGAUUAAAGGCUUUUGAGGGUACCAGGGUACCAAGUUAGUUUUCCCUGCAGAUUGAUCUCCAGGAGCAGGUGCAUAUGUGGGUACAGUUGUCAAUAAGAAAUAACAGUAAAAACCCUCUGUACCUAUUAGUGUGGUGAUCGUAACUGAAGUGUCAUGUAGAUAUAAUGUGUCCAAGGGUGGGGAGCACCACCUGUGACUCUUGUCGGCUUUUCCGUAUCCUUGUGACUUAGUCUGUAGUUUACUGAGCACUUCAGGCUGAAGAAUUAGUCUUCUUUAUUGGUACAAGUAUUUAAAUGGCCAUCCUGUGAACUGGUGUGGGGAACUGAUCCAUCCGAAAAAUGAACUGGCAAAAGUGCUCCUGGUUCAGUGUUUGGAUGUUUGUGCUGGCGCAGGGGACUGGCAGAUGCUGAGACUUUCUUUCAACAGCAAUGCUAAUUUAUGCCAGCUUAAAGGGUUUGCCAAACUACAGCCUUAGUUUAACAGUUAGGGACUGAUUAUCUCAAAAUAUGCCCAUGAAACUUUGAAGAAGAAUUAAGAAAUCUUUGUUUCCUGUAUCAUUUUUUCUUAUGCUUUCUUUUCUUUGUCCUUUAUCCUUGCACGUUUGGUAUGAAGUUCAGUUUCUGCCAUCAGAAACAUAUUGUUCUAUCCUUCAAGAAUCUUCCUUGUGACAGUUUUAUACAAAAGCUUUACUGAUCUUCCCCAAUAGAAUAUACACAAGAAAGAAAACAUUAUCUCUGAAUCUUUUCAGUGUGAAUCAUUGUGGAGUGGGGGUGGGGGUAUCCCUGCCCGGCCUUGUCCCUUUGCUCCAUCUCUCUAGCUGCAGAGGCUGGGUCUGAAGUGGACAGUUUUAGUACUGCUUUAUUUUUAUUGUCCCAUUUCCUCUCCAUUCCUUGGUGCACGAGGAUAGCUGUGAAGUGCUGGGUUGGCUUGUUGCAUGCUGUUUUUCCAGUCCUUUUGGGCUGUACAGCUGCAGUUAGCAACGACUAAAAAUCUGCUUCAGAGAUGCACGUGUAGCUUUGUGGUUUGUACACGAGUGACCUCUGUGUUCAGUGGGUCAUUAACUUUUUCCUCUUGGUGGCGUCACUGAUUUUCUGAUGGUGUUGCUGCCUUGAUGCACUGUGCUGCCUGCCCUACCCCCAAAGCAGUAGAGUUGUUUGACUUUCUAGCUACUGCUAACUAAAUGGAGUAAUCAUUAUUUAUGAUAUACUUUCUGUUUUUCACGUUCAUGAUUUACUUAUUACGCACUUAAGGGGAACUAAUGCUGGUCUUUGUGGCCUUUUUCAAACGUCGUUUUGUGCUCAUUAAGUCCUUGUAAACUCCUCCCAGUUCCCAAAGAUUAUUCGUUAACCAUAGCUGAUCAAGCAUAUUUUCAGUGCGAGUUUGUUCCAGAACUAGCUGGUAAGUUGCAGUCGUAAGCUUCAGGUUGAAAGCUAAUUCACUCACUGUUCCAGGACAGUGUCUGUCAAAAAUAGAGCAGUGCCUUUAUGCACGUAACAGCUGUGUGCACUUGAAGACUUUCUUGUUCUUUGGUAUUUAACUUGAAAUGACUCGAGAGUAUUUUUGUUAGCAUAUAAUGUUAUAAAUAGGUAUUGGGUAGGAAUCUGAGCGCCUGCCUGUGUAUGGAUGUGUGUGAUGUAGGGCAGCAAUGUAUGUGUUGUAUGCAAGGUGCCCUAACAUAUGCAUAAAGGCCUUGCAUGUGGGGUACAGCUAAUGGGAAUUGAUGGUAAUGUGGUCAGAUGACUUCACAAAGCUUUAGAUGCAAUAAACCAGCUGAAGACCUGAGUGUUUUUUAAUUUGCUUUUUUGUAAAUAUAUUUUAAAUCUGUUUAUGAGAGGCGCUUGUAUUGUCAAUCUGCAUCUCUUUGUGACAGCUCAAAACUGCUGGUGAAGUGGUGGGGGAUGAAGGCUUCUCUGGGCAUACACUUUCUCUGCCUUGCUGACCUGCUGGAGUGCCAGGGUCUGUUAUUUCCGUGCUAAUGUAGUUCAGAAAGCCACAGAUAUGUAGUUAGAAAUGUCUUUGAAGGUACUAGUUAAAUUAAAGCAAUAAAUCUUAAGAAUAGAAUAAGCAGCUCAGAGCUGAUGAACGGCAUAUUUUUCCUGUUGCUGCUCUCUGUCCUGUUCAGACAUCUGCUCUUGUUGUGGUCAUCAGGCUGUGUGAACAGCUUCUGCUGUGUGUGGCUGGUACUCAGCUGAAGGCGUCGGGCCCUUCUGGUUUCGGUUGGCUGCUGCAUUGUUGUUGGAGCAGCUGGCAAACAGCCUUGCCACUGUGAGAACGGAAGCUGUGGCCAGUUGAUAAGGGCAUCUUGAACUCGCUCAGUUUCAGCAGGCCUAUUUCACUGGCAUCGUAUCAUUGAAGUUGGUUAAAACAGUCUGAAAGAUUCCUACCUUGGAUCCCUUUUCGUUGUGCAGAUGGUAUUUGUGCCGCAGUCUCUGCUGCAGCUUAAUGACAGUUUUCUCCCACUUCAGCUGUUUUACAGUUAACCCAUGCCCAUCACACAGUCCUGGCUUAGUGCAGCCUGCUGUUUUUAAGAAUGUGUGUGCUUCACAAGUUGGUUUAACCAAAAGUUUAAGGAAAGUGAAAUCAAUUCCUUACCUAUAGAGCAGGCUCAUCUCUGUUUAAAAGUGUUUUGAGGCUUGUAAGUGGACUUCUUCUAUAGUGAGAGGGCAUCGUACGCCAGGGAUCCUUUUGAACUUAGAGCAGCAGGCACUUCCAAAGCCACUAACUAUCAAAAAGUGCUUUACUUUAAUAUUCUCCAUAUUAUUUACUCUGUUUUGUGCAGUAAAUUCAUAACAGAUAUCUGGACAAAGUUAUUUUCAGGAUGUUUUAGUUUACCCAAGAAAAAUGCCGCCCACUUAACACGUUUCACAGAAGUAUACGGAGGGAACCUCUCAACAGGCAGGGGUCAGGCUCAUGUAUUUUUUCAGGCUGUUAUACAGAUCAAAACCCUGCAGCCCUGAGCUUGUGGUCCUCCAUCCUGCUAAUCCUGUCCAUUUUUCUUUCAUCUGCAUUUCCCACAGAUACCUGCUGCUCCUGCCUAUGGUCCCUUUGAGACCUUGGGCUGCUGGGAUGGAGCCCUCGCUUGCUGAGUGGAUGGAGAAGGAGCAGGCACUGAGGGCAGGGCUGCCUGACCCUGCUGUGCAUGCGGAGUGUGAGGCUUUGCUCAAUUUCUGGGCCCUGCUGGGUAUUUGGCAGUGCAGACACCCCUCCAGCGGGCUAUCCUCUGCAAGGACUGCAUUUGAAAGAAAGGAGUGCCUGCCUCUUGUGAGAUGCCAGUUGAUCAUCUUUAGUUCUAAACUGAAGCCAGAUGGAGUUGUACUCAUCUGAAGUAUUUCUGAAGAAUACCCAGUCUUAUUGGGAACAAAAUUUCCGAUGAAGCUACGUCUAGAACAGCUGUUGAUGCUGUUCGAAUACUAAGGAUUUCUUCUGCUGGAAGCUUACACCCUUCUUGCAGUCUAAAUAAUCUUGUUCCAGAUUCUUGCAAUUUGCUUUCUGGUGUUUGUUAGAGUUCUUCCCUACCAAAAGUCUCGUUUUCACCUAGGGAUGUGGUCUCUUCAUACCAUCAUGCAUUUAUCAUAAGUAAUCUAUAAUCAGUGUGUAGGUGAAGCUUCAAAAUAUUGACAAAAUGAUGCUUGUAUUUAGCUUCCAGCAAUGCAAGGACUUUCUUGGCCAGAGGUUGCAUCUGGACUACUGCUCUUAGUAUGCACGGAUGGAUGGACGUACUUGCUAUUAAUUUACGUAAUCUUGGUUUUAAGAGCCAUUUGUACUUUUGGCCUCUGUGAUAUCCUGUAACAAUGAGUCCUGCAGUUUGAUUAGAUGGGGAAGGAACUUCCUUUUGUUUAAAGCCUACAGCCUGACGAUUUUCAAUGUCUUCAAGAUUCUUUGUUGUGAGAGCUCAUUUUGCAGUAGUUUUAUCUUUCAUGGAUUUAAGUCUGAUGCUUCAUUUCAUACAUUUUUGAGCUGAUGCUUUUUCCCUCCUAAACUGAAGAAUUGCAGUCUUUUUAGCAUUUCUUCAGCUGGGUAUCAUUUUAUACCUCUGUACAUUCCUGUUGCCCAUUUGUGCAGCUUUGUGGGUCUGCUAAUCCCUCUUUUGCACUUCCUCUUUACUGAAUACACCUGCAGUUUUGUUGUCCAGAUACUUGAUAUCAUUCUAACCUCCUGUGCACCUUUCUGCAGUCAGUGUUGGAAUGGUUCCCACAGUGUAUUUCCUUAUUGCGUGUAAAUGCUGCUGGCCUGCUACUCCCUCCCUCUUCCUGGUCACGUGAAAAGUACAGACCCUGUGGGGAUCCUGUUGGGAGCUGUUGUUUUUCACUGAACAGAGCCUGGGGAAAAUGACAUGUAGUGGCUCCCUGAGGCCUUCUAACCCUGGCACAGGCUCAAGAACAACACAGGAGUUCUAGACUGAUGUCCUGACUUUGUCAUUUUCCUUAGAGAAAACAGAGAACGGGAGUGGUAACUUCUCAUGAGCCAAAGGCUUGGCCAAAAUUAUAUUCUAAGUGGGGUAGGUAUAAACAAGAGAAACUUUUUGUUUUAACCCAUUUAAUCCUAGAAUUUUAUCUUUAAAAACUACGAAAAACUUUGACCUGCAGGACGAGAAACACAGAUGAAGAUAGGAUUAACUAACUUUAUUUUCAGCUUAAUCUUAUCCCAUUGCAACAAGAACAUUCCAGAGGUGUCGUUUGUGAGUUUUAGCUUUUACUAUGCCUUUUCCUCUUUGUAAGCACACAUCCUGCUACUUUGAAGAUGCACCCACGCAAAGACAACGCUAGUAACACAUGUAACUGCAUAGUGUUGCUUGUGUUGGUCCUGGAAAUUAAAUGCAAUCCAGGCUCGUGCUUUAGGGCUUCUUUGCAUUUCAGGUGGGAGACCAGUCAGUCUGCCUGAGGGCAGGGCUGCUGUUCAGAGUGGAGGACCAGGGAUGCUGCUGGCUCAGGCCAGCAUCCUGGCCUGUGGUGUUUUCAUGUGGCGUUGUAUGCUCUGUUGUCCUACUUGUGUAUUUAGUUUUUAGAAGUUCUUUAGUAACCAUUGAACAUUAUGUGUUACUGCCCAUAGGCUUGAAUUCCAUUUUGCUCGUAUGAAUAAAGCAUACAAAAACAAUGCUUUCCCUUGGAGAACUUACAAUUAAAUACAAGCUCAGUGUUCAUUUUAACAGUUCUGUGUGUACCCACCCUCCAGCAAAAAGCUAAUUAAUUAUUUAAAGCGCUAAAUAAGUCGAUUCCAGCUAAAACUAGUGGAAGAAUUUUGUUAGGAGCCCUGCAGUUAUGUACUGUUACAGCACUUGCAAUUUGAAUUGAUUAUUUGUUUCUAGUUAGUUUUCUGCAGUGCCGCAGCGUGCAUUCCAUGUCAGCAUUUUAUCUGGGAGAGAGAUUAUCUGAACUGCCUUUUGAACCCAGCGAGUAGAUAUGAGCAUGGCAGUAGUGUGCUGUCCAUGUAGUGGGGGCUUUUUUUUUUUUUUGCUUAUUUUCAAUCACAAUUCUGUGUGCUUAUAGUAGCCUCUUACAUCCAAGAUGUUUUGUAGUUGUUUAAUGGGGUGGAGGGUGCAGAAAAGCAGUCACAGCUGAGGCUUUCUGGGGUAUCUCAGUUAUUAGUUCUUGCAAUUUGAUUUUGUGGGUUUAGUAAUGGGGCAGGCACAAUUAAAACUUGUGCUUUGGAACUUGUUCCUCUUUGUUAUCGCAGUGCAUGUUUGGCAAGUGCCACUGCGUUCCAUGAGUUCUUGCCUGCUCUUCCUUCUCCUCCCUCUUUCCCCUCUGUCAGGCUCUCAUUUCAAAAUGGCUUUUUCCCAUCUUUGGUUGCGUAUCUCAGGUCAAAUGAAGGCAGAAUACAAAGUCGGUUCUGGAGGCUGUAUUCUCCUUAUUGUAGAGAUAUGGAGCCAUCCACUACAUUUAAUAGAAGUUAGUAAAUCACCUGCCUGUCCACAUGAAAUUUCCUGAAAUGUCUCUUACUCAGAAGCUAUUAAUCACCAUUGAUAUUAAAUAAUACAUUCAUGUUUUAGAAGAGCCUGUACUUAUUUUUAGUAAUGGUAGAUAAAUUUCAUUGUAAAAUACAGUCUGUGGCUGAAAGGUCCAUUUCUGCCAACUCUAAAAUGCAUAGUGGUUGCCUGCUGACCUGAGCAGGAAGUUUAUUUCUUGUAGAGAAAUCUAGUAUUUUGCAGAACCAAUUGUUGUUUCACUUCAGCUCUUGUGAUACUCAGUGUUAUUUUUUGCCAUCUGGUAAUACUUACUUGUGGCAGUGUUGCUAUUCUCUCCAUCUUUUUUUCUCCACUGUAUAUCAUCUUUACAGCAGUGAUUUCCACUGCUGCCGCAUAAGACAGUGGCGAAUUCGUAUCUGUUAUUUCAGGAUGUUUCCAAAUUUACGUUCUUGAGUACAGUUUUUAUUUCUUUCCUUUUCUUGGUUACAACCUUAAGCAGGGAAUAGGCUUUGAAAAGUAAAACUUACGCUCUGCAUAUCUUGCAUGUGGGUUCCAUAAAUACAUCUUUUAGAUCUGUUCUGGUGGUCUGACAUGAUACCCCUGAUCUAGGCUGAGUCCGAAUCCAUACAGUCUUUCCUCAGCAAAUACAGGAUGUUGUAAAGACAUAGCUGUCCUUCGGUUUGCCAAAACAGUUAUCCGUAACAGGAUUGUUGGGUACAUCCUUAAAAAAAAAUGACGUUUCUGCAAGGUCUUGGUUCAGCUACUUUCUGAUUACCGGAGUGGGAAAUAUGACGUUUGAGAUUAGCAUCGUGCAUCUGACCAUGGAACUUGUGGAGUGACAGUUACAGCAACGUGAUUGACAGGAAUCUUGGCAGAUUCUUGACUUUCUUUUCUAGUUAUUAUUUACAGAGAAAAAGUUACCUGCAGAGGAACCUACUUGCCUUUUAGAAAGGGUAAAUAAUUUGGUGAGGAUAUAAAACAUUUUCCUUAUUGAAGCAGAAGGAAGGAGGAAAGUAGUUAGUGCUUUUUUUUUUUUUUUUAGCCAAUCCAGGUAAGAUUUUCCUAGCAGUUUCAUAAUGCUAUGUGUAAGUGGAGUUGGAGUGAGCCAGGUGUGUGCCUUUUGAUCAGUGGAUAGUUGGUAAUGCACUGGGUUAUACAUAUUUCUCCCAAGGCAGGAAAGUGGUGUGUGCUGUCCACUAUACUGUUCUUUUGGUCUCUUGGGACAGAAGCGGUUAGGAGGUGACUUUUAGGGGGACUGGGAAAGCCUGUAUGAGCAACAGCAGUUCAUAAACCAGAAAUGCUAUUGUUGCUGCGAGCUUAAAUUUGCUGUAGGUUUGUACUGUAAAAUUGGUGCUGAAGGAGACAGUGGAGCUUCUGUGUUGACUAGGUCGGGACAGGCAUUUCCCUCAAGCUUUUCUGGCUGCCUGGAGUCAGAGCUUGGUACAUUCAGAUCUUUCUCUUGUGCACAUGGCCACGUACUCGUAAAGCAAAUACAUCACAUUCCUGAGCCAGUCUUGUCAGGGAGUUCAUUGUGCCUGAGUAGAUUUUCCUGUCACAGCACGCACUUGUGUGGGCUUGGUAGUGCGGCAGCAAGCAGGAGCGGCAGAUACGUAUGGGAACUGAUGGUCAUUGGCCCUGUGUGCCCAGGGCUGGCUUUGUGGCACUUUACUCUGCGUGUGAAACUGGCAGUGAAAAACAAAUUGUCUGUCCCAGUGUCUGUGGCCUGUGUGUUUCUACCUUUGUUUUGAUUUCUCAUGUGGAAAUCAUCUUGGAGGUAUUCAGGGUUGGGUUUACUGCCACUGAAUGCUUAUCUAAGCUGAAUUAAUAACUUGAUGUCAACAUCAUAAGACCUACUUCUGGCAUUUGUGAUCAGCCUAUAAUUCUGUGUGGCCAUAGCUAUUUCUCAGGACUUUCUACCAGCUAUGCUGUGAGUUGAACACAGAUGAAUUUAUAUGGUGGCAGUUUAUGUUUGAACUCUGUACGCAGAGUCAUCUGGUUAAAACCAAAACCCCAAAAUAUUGUUUAUACCAGUUGUGAGAGAGACCCUGUUAUGUUGUGGUGGUGAGAUUGUAUAGAAGAGCUUGAAUAGAGACGAUUUACGUGUGGAAGCUCAUGAAAAGCAAUGUGGACAGAGUCAGCAUUUCUCGCAUAUAAAUUGUAGAUCAUUUGAAAGCGUAUUACAGACUAUUUGCUGUUAUUUGGCUUUCAACCUCAGUAUGACUUCCACAAAAGGUUUCUAUAAUUAAAGCAGCACUUUGUCUGUUAAUAUUUCACUGUGUAGUUACUCAUUUUUAUAAUUUAUAAAUACUUCUAGAAUUCAGAUAAUUAUUUUAAAUUAGGAGUGAAUCCUUUAGUGUACGAUGUCAAGCUGAGAAUACUAUGGGCAUUGCUGAAUACUCCAUGACCCCUUGCAAGAAUCAUUGAACAUUAUUUUAAAAUCAUUUUCAGUCCAUGUAACAUUUGUGGCAAUAAAUCCUUCUAUAGAUUACAUUUUAUGGAUGCUAAGACCUUGACUUGGGUGCUUUAUGUAGGCGCUGAAAAUUUAAGAUAUUUACAGCAUACAAAUACCUUCCUAUCUGGCUAACUGCUGAAGAUACAAUCCCAUUAGUAUCUUGUUGUGCAGUCACACAACAUUCAAAUUUUUAUAUAAAGAAAUAUUUCCUGCAAGCUGAAUUGCAGUUUCCUGAUUAUUUUGCUCCUUAAAGUGGAAACAAAAUAAUUGUUUCAAGACAAAAUCAUCAGUGUGUCUGCUGGUAUCAUGUGGUUAGGUCUGAAAAUUUGGUCUGCACAAAACACUGUAAGAAUAUAUUUUAAGUAGUAUAUCUGAAUGACACUUAACCUCUUAUUAUUUUAGUGCACUAUCGUAAUUUGUUUCAGUGUUGUGUUAUUUUUAGUUCUUAAAGAUGCUGCUUCCCUGUACUUUUUCUGAAUGGUUAAUGAUGAGUAAGUUGACUGGAGUCAUGCAAAAGCAGAAUGUUCUGCCUCUUCUUGGAAAAAAAGUGUUUUCAGACUAUUUUUUGAUGGUGUUAUGCAUUUCAAAGCAGUCAUGAUGUUAAAUUAAAAACAGACUCUUAAAAUUUGUGUUGAUUGACUUAUUUCUCUGUCAUUUUUACACAGCGCCAAAACACUGAGUCACUAGUCUGCUUCUCUUGGAGAGAACGGGGAGUUAUGUGUGGAGGCCAGCCAAUUCUUCAAAUGUAUUUUGCACUUUUUAACAGUUGUUUGAAAGUGUAUUGGUCAACUUACUUAAUCAUAUUGUGGACAGAUUAGGCUUUAAACACCUUUCUCAGCUGCAAAGUGGAGUUUUGUGCUCGUGCCUGCGCUAUUGAAAGAUAACUUUCUGUCCUUGGUAACAGUAACUUUCAUUUCCCUUCUUUGGGAAGCUGUGAUUUGGUUUUGUUUGUUACGGGUUGCUGACUUCAGGUUCGCAGUAGACUGCAGUAUUAAAACUCAAACCGUGUAUGUUGAACGUCAGGGAAGCUAUUAAUGCUUUCAAGUGCAUCUGUAAACAGCAGCUCAAAUGCGCUCGUUAUUAUUUUUUUUAAGGGGAUAAGAGUAUUGUAAGCUUGAAGACAUUGUUUAUGUUCAGAGUUGUGUUAGAUAAACCUUACUUUAAAAAAAAUAAUCCUGUUUAAGCCAGUGCACAACUCUUUGUAGGCUUUAUUAAUUGAACCCAGUUUUAUUUUGCUAAUAAGGAAUUAGAUUAAGCUAAGGGAAGCCAGAUCUUAAUCAGAUUGGAGGACUGCAAGGGUAUUUGCACUGAUUUCACUGAUUCAGUUUUAAAACAAAACCUUUUGGUUAAGUUAAGCUGGCAUAACUUUAAGAAAAGACACAUCUUGGCUAGCAGCCUGGAAAAUGCCGGUGUGUUAACUAUUAAGGAAGAUACCACCUGCACUUUUUCCCCUGGAGUUUGCAAACUGGCUUGGUGAUCUCUCUGCAUUUGGACAUUUGAUACUGGUGACAAGCUUGAGUGUACAAAAGCAGUGAGAACCUUGUUAAUAUUUAAGUGUUGUUACCUCAGUUAAGUAGUAGACUAGUUGGGGGCUGUAAAAACAUGAAAAUUCUUGUCUGGGAGGUAGGAAGCAAGUUUUAGAUCUUCCUGCUCUUUGUGCCUAUAACACUGGUUUCGGUCACUUAUCGGUUCACCUUUGGAGGUGUUUCUCCGAUUGCCGCGGUUUCCCCAGGGCUCUGCUGAAAUGCUCUCUGUUUAGCCUUCCAAGCAUCUUCAAGAUCUCCCCAAGGUUAAUGGCUCCUGUUUGAUUGUUUUAUGGGAGCUUCUCCUUCCCACGUGUUAUUUUUAAUAUUUAUUGGAUUUGUUUGGUAAAGUGUGAACAUAUCCCACGUUCAUCUUCUGAAUAUCAGACUUGAGCAACAGCAUUUCUUUCUAUGCCAUUGGGGAAAAACUGAUUAGUUAUCCAAGUUUGCAUGCAAAUUUUAUCAUUGGUUUAAGAGCUCAUGAAAAUUUCCUAAAACCUAUGAACAUGUGUGCAUGAGAGAAGUGAUAUUUGGAAACCAGCUUCAUGUGAUCUUGCUGUUGAGUGCUAUUUGAAUUGAGCAUUGAAAAGGGAGUGCUGACUCCCAUUCAGCUACAGCAAGAAGUGCUUGGCAUAUUUACUGAGCAAUGUCUCUGCUACGUGCAGGGGCUUUGGCGUUAAUUCAGAGGUGUGGGUGAGCUGAAUGCGGCCAGUGAAACAGCGUGAGUAUUUCUGCUUUCUGAUGAGCCUCAAUUUAUUAGAGGGGCUGAAGUGAGUCUUUCAAGUAAGUAGUUGUCCCUUAAAACUGAAGGCAGCUGGAAUGAGUAAAGGAGUAAGUUAACUCAGGGAGAAACUGAGCAGGCUGCAGCCGAGUAGCCAGACUGCUGACUGGGCACAGCUUUCUCUGAACUGAGAAAUCAUGUGAUUUCUCAUAUGAUAUCUUUUAAAUAUUAUUAGAAAGUUAGAAAGAAGUGGUAAGAGUGUUUAUUGGUUGUGCCGAACUUGGUGGUAUAUUAUAUUACUUGAGUUAUUUUUUUUGGCCUGUUUACAAAAUACAGUUCUACCAAAGCAACUGGAAACCUUGCAGUCGCCUUUGCGCUGAAAGGUGUGGGAAAGGGUGAAUUAGGUCAGGCUGCCAUUACUUUCUGAGCUGCCUGGAAGUUCAUGGAAAACAUAAACCACCUACGUAGCUGUGUGCUGGUUCUAUUAAUAGUGCAAGAAGUUAUUUCAGCUCUGUUUUCCCUCUCUCCCUACCUAUCUGAGUUUGUUUUUCGACUUUGUUCAGUUUGCCUUCAGCGUGCCAGCUCAAGAGCAGGCAGCUUUGCCAAACCCACUCUCCUGAUAAAACUCCUGCUGCUGCCUUCACAGCCUCCCCAUGGCCUGGGCUGACCCACACUUCUCGUCCUCACCUUCAGUUGGUUUUUCCUAGAAGAGCUGCUUGCUGUGUGCUUGCCAGAAUGUGAUCCAGAUAGCUGCUGGUUUUAAGUAGGAUUCUUGUAUUGUUUUUUUUUCUUUAACUGCAAUUAGGUGGUUUUAGCCUAUCUGCGGAGAAAAAUGCUGCAGAAAAUAAAAGUUGUUCUCCUUUGCUAAUAAACAAAUGGGAUGCCUGUGGUGGUAACUUAAGAGAGAGAGCUUCAGAGCUGCUAGAGUGGGUUGGGUCUGUUGUUUUUGUUAGUUUCUAACUCAACUUUAGAGAUUCCCAGUCUCACUCAUGGACAUGUGAGCCACGGUUGUUUAAGCUUUUAAGCCCAUAGAUAACAAGUUUGCUCUCUUCUCAUAGGUUCUCCAGCUGACAGUGAUUGAAAGAUGCAGAUGCUGAUAUUUCUCUUUGGCUUUUCUAGUUACACAGUUUUGACUACUGUAAACACCUGGUUCUCUGGCCUUAUUUGCUGGAUAAUGGAGUAGAUCAGCAUAAAGACUUGUUUGGAAGAUGAACAUUGGUGCUGAAAUCCUUGGAUUAGCUGUGUCCCAAAGAGUUUAUUUUGCCACUUUAAACUUCCUCUGUUUUGGAUAGACCUAAUAGUUCCUUCCAGUUCAUAGCCUUUGUUGAAAGUUUCUGUCUCUGAUUGUGAAGAAUCUGCAGUAGAAAACAUAUGAAUCCAGGCCAAGUUGUACCACAUUAGCAUGCUGAAGUCAAUAAUCUUGACUGUGCUCACACCAAAUUGUACCAGUGUAGGCUUUUUUUUCUUUCAGUUCAGUUGUUAUUUUGUACACCUUGCAAAAAAUCUUGGGCUGAUGUGUGUUGAAACCACGGUAUAUUUCCUCAGAAAUAUAUUUCCUCAGAACUGUUGUUUGACAGGGAUGAACAAGUACUUGAACUAGAGUUGCAUUAGAUAGAUGACAAAGGGACAAGUCAGAUGUUUUAUUCUUUACUUUGCUUCUUCAUUCUAGUGGGUGUUUUUUCUUUGAAUAAUAUGUCUGAUGACCUGCACUGAAGAUUUCUAUUCAAGUCUUUGUGAGAGCAUCUGAUAAAUUUUUUUAGGAAGUCAUCAGUCUUGCAUUUAGACGUCUUGUUUUGCUCUCUGGGAUUUUUAGUUCCUUCAGCAAACAGCAAAAGUGACAUCUCCUUGACUGAUGCAGUUUUCUUUAAUCUGAGCUAAACAAUAAAGUUAUAUGACACAACACAUGUCCUCUCUCCAUUUAUUUUUGUUUAGUUUUUGUUUUUUAAUUUUCCUGGAGGAAUUUUGUGUUAUCAUGUAAAUUGUAUUUUCCUACCUUUUCUACGAAUUUGUUAUUAGUGCUUUCUUCUUUUAAGGAAUGGUAUGCUUACCGAUAGCCAGCUGUCGGACGAAUGGGAGAGGAGAGGAGAGGAAAAAGCUUCAGUCUGUUUACCUGCAACUCUUUUCUUUAUCUAGGGGUUAGGCUGUCAUACGUGGUGAACGUGGCUGGGGAUGCUUCCCCUUGAACUCACACUUUCUGCUGCAGUGCUGCGCCUGCCAAAGUCAAAUGUCUUAUCUGAUACCUCUUUGCAGAGUGAACAAAACUGUGUGGGUGAUGGAUUAUUCUUUCUGCUGCCUUUGUUCAUUUAAUCACUAGUUACAGUGAGGUUUGGCAUGCUAAAGAUGGCGAUGCGUAGCAAAAAGAUCUGUGGUUUCAGUUCUUCUGUUAACAACUUAAUGUUGCUUGCUUGGGGUGAUAACCUACAGUUCGUUUUCCAGAGUUGAACCCUUGGAAGCAGAAUGCGUGCGAAUGAGUGAUCAGCAGCUGCUUAAGUGUGUGAUUAAUUUCAUUUGACAGACACAAGUUGUGCUGAUUGCAGAGCAGUGAGGGUGCUUUCAUGCUUUUUCAAUUACUCAUAAAUUCCAGAGGGUAUCUUAGGACAGCGCUCAUGUGCUAGGCAUGAGUGCUCAGGCAGAGUGCUGCUGGAUUAAAGAGUUCUGCGGAGGAGUCCAGUAGGUGACUUCACUUCUGCACAGAAUGUAUUUAAGAUGACCAAACACUUAAAAGCUACAAUGUCUGAGAAGCACAAAAGAGGAGACCUUGUCUGUUAUGAAAAUGGAAGCAAUGUCUUGAGUCAAAUUUCCUGGUAAUUUUUAUGGGAGAACUGACAAGACAGGUGGCUUUGUUUUGGAGAGCUGACACCUUUAUUGUUUUGAGUAUAAAAUUUUAAGGAAUUGGACAUUGUGAUCUCAAAUGCCUGGUUUUUUUGGCUGCCAUUAACAGCAUUUAAAAAAAAAGUCACAAACCCAAAUUUUCUCUCUUCCUGACAUACAUAUUUGCAUGCUUAUGUGUAUUGUAAAAUAGCUGAAAAGUACGUGAUUUCAUUAUUUGCGCGGGUAACUUUUCUGUCCUUUCCCACAGAAGAGAAAUGUGAGUAAUCUUGCAGUACAUGGCAGUUUGAUGCCAGCUCGCUUUGCAUUGUUCCACAAGGCAGUACAUUUCAUGAGUCCUGUAAAAUGUUAAGUUUGUUACUUUCCUUAUCGCAGUUCAAUUGGGGAAAGGGAAUUGUCACGCUAACUGGAGAACACGACAUACAUUGUGCCAUGCUGGCUGAUGGGCUGGUUUGUUUGCUUUCCAGUUUCUCGCUAAAGGCUGAGUCAUUGUUACCGUUAUAACAAAUGCAUAUUAGAUAACUUAUCGCUGCAGAACUCACUCUUGCGGUUAAUGAUAGCCGAAGUUUCAGGCUCCAAAGUCAAAAACAAGUGCUUUUGUUGUUGUUUUCUUAAGUGUCAGUGACAGACUCAGAAGGUACAAAACAUUUCUAACACGGAGUAUGGCUGAUCUUUGCGUUUAGCUGACAGCAACUGGAGUUGCCCCUGGACUUUCCAACUGCUGGUCCUCUCUUUCUUCACCAACUUUGAGGUUGGAAAAAAUAGGGUGUUGGCUAGAAAGACCUGGGAACUGUGUGCUUUUUGAACUUCUAACUCCAGGGUCUUUCAAGGCACUGACAGAUAGGUCACUUACAUGCCUGGAGACGUUCCCAUAUCUGAGUCUGACUCCUUGUGAUUUCAGAGGGAAUUGAAACUGCUCCGGCUACUCUGCCUUCCUCUUUUCUUCAUUCUGAAUGAGUUAGAGCAGCUGCUUCUCAUGGGCGUAGAGGAAUAAUGAAUGUCAGCAUUUGAUUUUCACAAUAACUCUCAGCAAAACUGAAAGUAUUUGUUUUGUUAGGAAUGCUGGUACAGGCUUGGAUCCAGCAAAACUCAGGAUCUGUGUCCAGCACUGUGUGUGCUCCACGAGAGUGCAGCAGGGGCUCUGGUCCAUGGGCCUUUCUUCGAGAGGGCUAGCUUCAGUGGAAACCAAAUACCUUCCUCUUCCAGCCCAGCUUCACUUUGUUUUGUUCCAUUUUUCUCACUAAGAGAGGAAAUUACAGAACCCUUAUUACAUUACUUGGUAUCUCUAACUCACUGUUUUGAUUUUGUGGGUUUAUCUUCCUGCAGCAAAACUGAUAAGUAAUGGCUUUGCCAAAUAGUAGGUCACAUUAUUUGAUAUAUAUAGUAUGUUUACGUAACAUGAGAGCUAUAAUGAUGACUAUACUAUGAUUACAGUAAAGGAACUGAGAAACUGAAAUGCCUAACAUUAAAAUUACAAGUAUAUUUAAGUGUUGUACUUUUGAGUACUUGUAGUGUAAUGCUGUAUAAGCGUGGUUAGUUCUGUUUCAUGUGAACAGUUUGGCAAACAUGUUCUCAAAGGUCCUAGACAGAUCUACCAAAGCUUUGCUUCUUCUCUUAUUACAGUAUAUCUGUAAGUGAAGGUUUAAAAUGUUUGCUGCUUUAGCAAAAUCCAUUCUGUUUACAAGUUGUGUACAAAUAUUUUACUGUUUGAGCCUCCUCAGAGCAGUUUCUUGGAACUAAUGCAAACUGGAAAGCUUUACUUGUUACCAUUAAGAAAGAGAAAAAAGGUUAAAUUUGGAGUGUAAAGAAGCAAAAAAAAAAAAAAAAAAGCACUGAUACUCCUCAUUUGAAA